rnacentral:rRNA from 1 species
GACGAACGCUGGCGGCGUGCCUAAUACAUGCAAGUCGAGCGGACAAAGCGUGCCUUGCUCCUCUGUUUUAGCGGCGGACGGGUGAGUAACACGUGAGCAACCUGCCUGUGAGACUGGGAUAACUUCGGGAAACCGGAGCUAAUACCGGAUAGUACUUUUUGACUCAUGUUGGGAGGCGGAAAGAUUGUUUGGGUUAGCAGUUACAGGUGGACUCGCGGCUUAUUAGCUGGUUGGUGGGGUAGCGGGUCACCAAGGCAACGACGGGUAGCCGGCCUGACGGGGUGACCGGCCACAGUGGGACUGAGAUAGGGCCCAGACUCCUACGGGAGGCAGCAGUGGGGAAUAUUGCACAAUGGGCGGAAGCCUGAUGCAGCAACGCCGCGUGCGGGAUGACGGCCUUCGGGUUGGAAACCGCUUUCGCCUGUGACGAAGCGUGAGUGACGGUAAUGGGUAAAGAAGCACCGGCUAACUACGUG